ACUCCUACGGGAGGCAGCAGUGGGGAAUAUUGCACAAUGGGGGAAACCCUGAUGCAGCCAUGCCGCGUGUGUGAAGAAGGCCUUCGGGUUGUAAAGCACUUUCAGUAGGGAGGAAGGUAGUGUAGUUAACACCUGCAUUAUUUGACGUUACCUACAGAAGAAGCACCGGCUAACUCCGUGCCAGCAGCCGCGGUAAUACGGAGGGUGCGAGCGUUAAUCGGAAUUACUGGGCGUAAAGCGCAUGCAGGCGGCCUGUUAAGUCAGAUGUGAAAGCCCGGGGUCUUAACCGUCGGAAUUGCAUUUGAAACUGGCAGGCUAGAGUCUUGUAGAGGGGUUAGAAUUUCAGGUGUAGCGGUGAAAUGCGUAGAGAUCUAGAAGGAAUACCGAGUGGCGAAGGUCGGCCCCGUGGACAAAGACUGACGCUCAGAUGCGAAAGCGUGGG
rnacentral:rRNA from 1 species